rnacentral:lncRNA from 1 species
UUUGUAAAUCAUAUUUUGAUACUUCACCAGAAGUAUCUAUAAAGGUAUGGAUAUCAAGGAAGGCAAUGCAUCAAAGGGUUUCAAGCAACUCCUAUAAACCUAAUGCACAUUUCACUAGACUUAAAGUGUGCAAAAAUUAUUUGAAAACACAAGGAAGGGGUUGCAUGCACCGGGGCUUGCCUGGAAUAAACACUAGGUUAGUGUUUGUUAGGUGGCGACCACUUGACGAUCAGCCUUUGUUCCGAUACUUGCUUCGUCCAUCUAUCUUCGGGUUAAUCCAUCAAUAUUAUCUUGCGGAGAAGCUCACACUUUCCAGCAUCUUGUGGUCGACUCAGUUUUGGUCCUCUGCAUCACGUGAUUAAUUAUCGUACCUAAAUGAUUUGCAUAAUGCACAUGAAUGCACAUAAACAGAAAUAUCAUAAACCUAAAUAAUGCUACACCACAGCGAAUUAAACCCCUAGCGGCGAGGCGUUGUACUAUUUUAUACGAAAACACUAGUUAUCGACGUACGACUUAAGCGCAAUAAUUACACUUCUCGAACCUAACGCAAACAUCACGAACAACAAACUAUACACAAGAAAUACAAUUAGCCUAAUCAUAACUUAUCAGUUAAUUAAUUAAAUUCUGAACUAAUCUCUUGCCUUAUAAAUUAUACUACAUCUUUAUAAGUGAUUAAAAUAUUUUAUCAUUACACAUGCCUACCAAAAUUCUACUCAGUCCACUAAUUCAGCUAAGUGACUGGAAUAGCGAAAUAACUCGCUAUAACUGAAUCUGGCUCGAUAAUCGCAAGAACUGCGAAGUCGACGAGAGUUUCGUGACUCACGCAAUUUAUCGAGCACCUAAUGAGCAUCGUACUAACACAUUAAUUUAUUUAACGUUCGAACUAUUCUAAACACUUCAUCAGCUUACCGUUUCCACAGCUGACACGAAUCCGCGAGAUCGGUAGCGAUUUUUCGAUCCAGGCAAUUUGUCGAGCGCUUGGGGAAUAUGGCGCUGCUAGCUUCGUCUUCACCCGAUUCUUGGGAUUUCUUGCUGAUGCACGGAACGACGACGACUUUGAGCUGAAGUCGGGUGCGAGCUGGUGAAGUGGGGUCGAACUGGGACUAGAGGACGACGAACGCCAUGGCGGGUUAGAGACUGGAUUUAACAACGGUGUUGUAUCAUGGCAAAUAGAAAAUCGAUGACCGACCAAGAUGUGAUCGGCGAGUUGAACGACUCUGACGAUUUGACGGCCAUAGACGCAGCCGGGAUAACUAAAAAUACUACGACAGCUAAGAAUCAACUCGGAGACGACGACGGGCACGCACGAGAGGAGCUCGACGCGGAAACUUGACACGCCGUUGCGAGCAGAGAAUUUUCGUGCGCACGACAAACAACGAAAGAGCAAGUUGCGCAUGCGCAGAGAGCUCGACAACCCGCAGCAGGGACUAGCAGGGCGCGAGCUGCGCGCAGGCGCGCGACGACCACGACAAAGGAGCAGAGACGGCGAGCACGCGCGCAGGAAAGGGACCUCGGCCAUGGGCAGGGACUCGCGACCGGCAAGCUGAAGGAGAUGGACGUGGCAUGAACGGACAGAGGGAGCAGGAGGUUCACGACGGGAGCAGAGAAGUCGGCACGCAGGGGAGAACAGCGGCCGAGCAAGAGCUAGAGCUUCACCGACGUGCCGAGAGGAAGGCUGCGCGCGCAGGGGAGUUGAGCGCCGAGCGAACGCAGGGAGAUGUUGAGCUCGCGCGCAGGGCUGAGGAACGCGCGCGCAGGCAGAGCCGCUCGGCAGAGCGCGAGCGAGCAGGGAGACGCGGCACCAGAGCUGGGGCUAGGCGCGACGGACAGAGAUGGAGCGAGCAGAGGCAGCUGGGGAGAAGAAGACCGCACACGAAGGAUAAGCAGCCUGCGCGUGAAAAUAUCAAGCGCGCGGCGUUGGGGAAGAAGAGGUGCUCCACGGUUGAAAUAGAGAGGAGAAAUAUCUGCACAACAGGUCAGGAGAUGAGCAUCGCGAAAAAAAAAUCGAGAGCCACGGGCGGCCGGAGAUAGGAGCAGGAAAGAUUUUUCCAUGGCGCAGAGAUGUUUUGCAACGGUGGAAAAACCUGAAGAAACGACGGCUGGAGAUUUUCUUUCCAAGCGAUGCCGCCAGCCUGUGCGCUGGAGAUCGAAGAGAUAAGAGAAGGGAUCGGCGGCGGAAAAAAAUCUCCAGCACAACGCUGACGGCUCCAGUGUGGCAAGCAAAAAAACCAUGGGAGGGAGAGAGUGACGUGAGGAUAGGGAUGAAAGAGAUUUUUUUUCUCUUUUCUUUUUUUUACGGAAAACCGUAGAUAUUUUUGGAUCGAGAUUUUUAGCGAUCACAAAAGAGUCGACAGCACUUGCGACAUAGUUUGAUUUUUGAUUCGAAACACGAUAUAUUUGAUCUGCGGUCAGAACACAUGAUUCCAUGGUCACGGUAAUUUACCAGAGACUCGAAGCUCAAUUAUAAUUCUCGGUCGCGGAGUCACGGUUUUGAUUUAGCAAAUACUUGGAAUCAGAUGAAUUUGCACCCGUCAUUUAUAUCCAAAGUUUUGGAUCGGGCAACAAACGAUAGACCGAAAUAAACUGAUUUCGGCACUGAUAAUUUGUUCGGCGUGAUUCGACCGAAAUUAGCCGAAACAAUAUCUGCGAGCGUAUACGCAAUUUCGUCGUCAAAACAGUGUGUGAAGGAUAAAUUGAAUCAUAUCCUCGUGCACGAUUUCACUCAGAUGACGCACGAUUCGGAUUAUUUUGCACUGAGUAUUUUAGUCGUCGAGUUCAAAUUAAUCUGUCUGGGAUAAAAAUCAUCCGAGUGAGUCGGGCUUCCGAAUUCGGAUUCGCGCGAGCGAUGAAUUUUAAAUAAUCAUCGGAUGCACCGAUUUUCAGAACACGACGUUCCGAACAUCACGAAAAUUUAGGAUGAGCCCGGAUAGAUACAAAUAAAAACGACGUCGCACACGCGACAGCCGAACAGAUGCGAUAUUAAAAUCGCGAUAGCUGAAGAUGAUUAAAAUUUAGAAUCCGUUUUAUCCACUGAUAUUACGCGCUUAAAUCCAUACUCGUUGUCGAGUGGAAUAUAAACACCUAGGGUGUUACAGCCCUCCCCCCUUAAAAGAAUCUCGUCCCGAGAUUCGGAGCGAAAGACUUCUAAGGGUAGAGCAGCAUGUAACCCAUGUCCAUAUCAGCGAUAAUCGUAAGACAGUCCUGAGCAAUGGCGAGUGUCUCAGAAUGUGGUUUCACUAGUGGACAUAACAUGUAUCGCCUUAGGCUAAUUUAGCAAUGUCCACCAAUAGAGACGAUGUCUGCAAAAGGAACACAUAAGUUUCCAUGUGUGCAGUUUGCUUUCUCUAAUGACACUGUACUAUCUGAGUCUGUUGGGCGAGCGGUAAAUAUGCGACUUUACCCAAAUAGAAUUAGUCGCAACCUCUUGGGUAAAACACACAAAAAGAGGUUUACCAACAAGUGGUUACGAUAACUUCAUAGCAUAGGGGACGGGUGUGAAUAUCGAAUAACAUCACAGUUGACCCGUAGCUGGCCAGAAAAUUCAAGUCCAUGAAAGGUGAUAUAGAUUCGAGAAAAUCACCCGCGGAAGGAUCUGUAGAUGCGGACUUUGCAACCAGUCCGUUUUAUCCAGCACUAUUCAUGGCUUGACUUAAUCACACAUGCUAGAAAAGCACACGUGAGGCAAUCAAGGCAUGACUAGAGAAAUGAUUAGGUGGUGAUUAGUCGAUUUUAACUUAACUUUUGUGAAUACUUUCUUUAGAGUGGGUUAGACCAAAGUGAGUUCAGGCAAAUCGAUAAAAUGAUCUCUAAACUCAACCUUUGUUCACUGGGCAGUUAUAAGUUAGUAAAACCAACUUGUUGAACUACUUUUGACAUUGAGCAGAUCCUCUCAGUACCAUUGGUAAGCCAAGGGUUGAGAGUUCACAUUGGCUAACAGGAGAUUAUGCACUUGGGUAGAAAUCCAUUUGGUCAUGUUGUUCAUCCGUUUCUUCAUGUGAGAUGAAAUGACUUGGUUCGGAAGUACAUGUAGUAAAUAAGGGGACGAAUGAACAAAUCCCUGCAUCUCAACAGCAGGAGAAAUCAAUCUCCAUUUUGAGAGCUAAUCAGUUGUUUUUCAACACUAAAAAGCUCCAAGGCUUCACCUUUACACAAGGGAUGUAAAGGGAACUUGUAUGAGUAGUCACUACCAAGAUCAAAAGAAAAGAGACCACAAAUGAAAGUGGUAUGCCCUUUUGAUCCAACAAAGAGGAUAGAUGUUGCUUGGUCACUUCGACAAACAACACCAAAAUUGUUUCAAGGAAGAGAUCUACAGAAGAUAAUAUAUUAGUGUAGUUCCACAAUGGAUCAUGACUAGAGACCUCGAAACCAGCAUGCGCCAAGCAGCAUAACCUUGCGUGUACAUUCACAAGGGGCUCUCAGUUUCGCUGCGGCACCAUAAGUCCUUAAUCAUGACACCAUUACCGAACUGGCACCAAUAAUGAAUCUCACGUAGGAAAAACAGAUUGUGCUAAGAUAACACAUUGAUAUAGUCUCAUAAUGGAUUACAACUACUAACUGUGAUACCAGUGCGUGCCGAGCAGCACAACUAUGUGUGCGCACACACAGAAGGCCCUCGGUUUCGUCACGGCACCACCGGUUUUAGUCAUAACACCAUUAUCAAACAUAACCAAUAAGAAAUCUCGCACAACACAAAUAGACUGGGCAAGGGUGAUAAUAUACAAAGAGAUACUCCACCUGUAUGAAUAGUUACAAGUAGAGAGCCAAAUAGAUCAUGGCCCGAUGAAAUGAACAAGACAUGGCCAUAACCUAAACUGGGUGGUGAGGGAGUACGAUGGGAGACUGUUAAUUCAGCCUCGAGCAUAUUUCUAUGCCCAUUGCAAAGAUUACAAGGUCGAGAAUUAAGUUGGUAUGCCUUCGAUAGGUAUGGGGAAAUCAAAGGCAUCAAAUUCAAGAAAAUGAUCGGACAUACUUUUCCUAGGUUAGGUUGAUAAUUCAACAUCGAUCAUUAAGAACAGGCGAACUGGUUAAGGUACAUCAGCUUGCACCAAUAAACAAGGGAAUGGUUGUAGAAGGAAACAUGACUCGAGAUUCUUGUUUCAAGUCCGGGUACACUUUAGGUCAACAAAGAUAUUAUCUAAGCCUUUAUUUUUAUGUGUUUGGUCAUGGAGUGAUGAAGGAAAAUUUAAUUUUUGGGUCAUGGUUCACUAAAUAAGAACAUGGCCUAGUUUAAGGUUUAGGCAAAUAAAUCACCAACCUUCUAUCGGUAAAUCAAGUACAAGAGCAAACACAUAUAACACCUAAAUAGAUUACCUAAAGAAUGGAAGACAACUAUUUCCUUAGGGUUCAUAACACAACAUUACACCACAAUAUCUACAAUCACUGGUUACUGGAAUAAAGGCGAGAGAAGCAUUUUGGAUGUAUAGGCGACAAACAUGAUGCAACAAUCAGGAUGCAUGCUCGUCCUAUGCGUCCUCACUGAUUUUGCCAACAUAAUAUGGCAAUAACGUUCUAUCUCGGUGGCAUACUUACGAUCCUCACGGUAUUUUGCUAAUCGUCAACUACACAUACGUUUUCGAGGUUAGUGUACCUGCAGAAAAUUCAUCACAGUCCAAUUUUCCCAUGAUGCAAUUCACACAUGACAGUUUAUCACAGUUUAUACUCCAUAUAUUGCUAUAUGGAGGCCAGCUCAUCAUUAAGCGCCAAGCCAUGCAUAGGCGCCGUUGCCACACUUUAACCAUAGGGCAACUCAUUAUGGUAACUCACCUUCUUACCUGAGCGUAGGUGCAUCGUUACAAGUACAAUACACUUCUCAGCAUUCCCAUGUUUGUAUACCCAUACACAUCCAUGGGGUACUGAAUUCCCAGAAAAGUAAAUACUCCACAUCGCAGCUUUCGUAUAUACAUAUGUAGAACACGUAUAUAGUCAAGCGCCACAAUUAAGCACUUCCCUAGACCGACGUUUGUUCGGUCAUGCUCUCACAUCUCACCUUACCUUGAGCGUCGAUCCAUUCAAAACUGAAUGGCCUCAAAAAUAACAAUACACAUGUAUGCAAUAUCCACCCGAUUGUGGGUUACUGGUUUUGAACUAAGCCACCUGAUAGUCCUUAAUUUAGGGCUUAAUAGAGGAUGUCGCUAGCAUUAUAGUUUUUCAAAACUGUUUUUCAAAGCCAAACAAUGUGUUUAGUUGAAAAUAGGUUUUCCAAAACCAAAACUUUUGUUUUGAAAAUAUGUAUGUGACCGUAUAUACUUAAUCCUGCUCCGAUACCAGCUGUGGCAGAACCUCCCAAGUUAUCGGGCCCACAUGCACCUGUCCUUGUCUCAAAGACCUCAGACUGCUAUGCAGGUGCACCAGAUAACUCAACAGGAUCUUUCCGAGUGCCCCAAGGACCUCGGAUAAACCACUUACAACCAGAACCGCGGGAUUAAGUAACACAAAUCACACACACACAACAUUUUUGCAGCGGAAAUCUUAUUACCAAAUUUUAUAGGUUACAAAAAUUUUACAUUAUUUUAUCGGAGUGAUUACAAAAGUAUAAGUUUGAAAUAUAUGCUAGCUCAAGUGACCAUCCUCAAUAAGAAGUAUAGAAGAAGUACUUAGACUUAUAAGAAGGCCGAGCCCACCGGCACUUAACACCAUCAACAGCAGCACAAAAUUAAAACCUGAAAAACAACAGGGAAUAAAACCCUGAGUAUGGAAUUACUCAGCAAGUCUUACCCGACUAAAGAAAAGACUCUCAAGGGUAUGCUGGAUUUGGGAAUCAAGGAGAGGCUUUAGCAAAAAUCAACUUAGAUACUUUUGCAGAAAUAGCUUACUAAAGUGAGUCCUUACUUUCAAUAUUUUAACGCCAAAUUAAAUAUUAAUAGACUCUGUUUGCAUAUGGUCUACAUUCACCAUCUCAUCAAUACAACAUCAUUUUUAUUCAUGAGAUUCACAUCCUGACUUAGGUUGUAGGGCAGUGACCAAGUCUUCAUAACCGCGAAGGUACGGCGAUCCGAAUCGAUUAUACUCAGCUGAGGAUCUCCAAUCACACGACAUAUGUAGCACUUAAUCCUUGCAUAUGUCAACCCGCCACCGGGGUUCUUAAGACCAGAACAGGUUCACGCGAACCGAGAGCACAGAUACACCACCGUCCAGCCUCUUGCCACGGAGGGUACACGCUACUCUCGCCACCGCUCCACGCCCAUUCCGUGUUAUCUUAUUCUGGCCUUAGUCUGCCCGAGGCAAGGCUUACCCAUGACGAGGCAUGUGACCAGUUAAAGGGUCCUCGAUCAUCAAGCCUACAUACGCAUCCAAUCCUUAAUCAACCUGGGUAGAACAUCACCUGUUCCUAGCCCAAGUCCCGAUUUAAGUAUUUCCACCCUUAGGAUUGUUUGUGUUCCUUAGGAUGAAAAGAGCAUCACAGGGAACUUUGCAGUAAGAUCCCACCACGCUCUCAAUGAAAAUAUUCUUGCAGGUAAAAGCCAUCUUUCCUCAGGAUAACCCCUGAGCUAGGCAGUAUUGCAAAAGACAACCUCUAACCACAAGAUCUAAGCAGGGCUAAGCAUUUUUGUAAAUCAUAUUUUGAUACUUCACCAGAAGUAUCUAUAAAGGUAUGGAUAUCAAGGAAGGCAAUGCAUCAAAGGGUUUCAAGCAACUCCUAUAAACCUAAUGCACAUUUCACUAGACUUAAAGUGUGCAAAAAUUAUUUGAAAACACAAGGAAGGGGUUGCAUGCACCGGGGCUUGCCUGAAAUAAACACUAGGUUAGUGUUUGUUAGGUGGCGACCACUUGACGAUCAGCCUUUGUUCCGAUACUUGCUUCGUCCAUCUAUCUUCGGGUUAAUCCAUCAAUAUUAUCUUGCGGAGAAGCUCACACUUUCCAGCAUCUUGUGGUCGACUCAGUUUUGGUCCUCUGCAUCACGUGAUUAAUUAUCGUACCUAAAUGAUUUGCAUAAUGCACAUGAAUGCACAUAAACAGAAAUAUCAUAAACCUAAAUAAUGCUACACCACAGCGAAUUAAAC